rnacentral:rRNA from 1 species
ACGCACGCUGGCGGCGUGCUUAACACCUGCAAGUCGCACGGAAAGGCCCUGCUUUUGUGGGGUGCUCGAGCGGCGAACGGGUGAGUAACACGUGAGUAACCUGCCCUUGACUUUGGGAUAACUUCAGGAAACUGGGGCUAAUACCGGAUAGGAGCUCCUGCUGCAUGGUGGGGGUUGGAAAGUUUCGGCGGUUGGGGAUGGACUCGCGGCUUAUCAGCUUGUUGGUGGGGUAGUGGCUUACCAAGGCUUUGACGGGUAGCCGGCCUGAGAGGGUGACCGGCCACAUUGGGACUGAGAUACGGCCCAGACUCCUACGGGAGGCAGCAGUGGGGAAUAUUGCACAAUGGGCGGAAGCCUGAUGCAGCAACGCCGCGUGCGGGAUGACGGCCUUCGGGUUGUAAACCGCUUUCGCCUGUGACGAAGCGUGAGUGACGGUAAUGGGUAAAGAAGCACCGGCUAACUACGUG